GACGAACGCUGGCGGCGUGCUUAACACAUGCAAGUCGAACGGAAAGGCCUCUUUCGGGGGGUACUCGAGUGGCGAACGGGUGAGUAACACGUGAGUAACCUGCCCUUGACUUUGGGAUAACUUCAGGAAACUGGGGCUAAUACCGGAUAGGAGCUCCUGCUGCAUGGUGGGGGUUGGAAAGUUUCGGCGGUUGGGGAUGGACUCGCGGCUUAUCGGCUUGUUGGUGGGGUAGUGGCUUACCAAGGCUUUGACGGGUAGCCGGCCUGAGAGGGUGACCGGCCACAUUGGGACUGAGAUACGGCCCAGACUCCUACGGGAGGCAGCAGUGGGGAAUAUUGCACAAUGGGCGGAAGCCUGAUGCAGCAACGCCGCGUGCGGGAUGACGGCCUUCGGGUUGUAAACCGCUUUCGCCUGUGACGAAGCGUGAGUGACGGUAAUGGGUAAAGAAGCACCGGCUAACUACGUG
rnacentral:rRNA from 1 species